rnacentral:ncRNA from 1 species
UCGUGUAAAAGGCAAACUUAUCGAAAGGUAAGGACGCAAAGUUACAGAUCUAAUGUUGCUUAUGCAAUGAUGAUGGCUGUGCUGCCGAC